CAUUACUAUACGGUUUUCUCCAUAUCUCCUUCUCUCCUUAAAAAUCUCCAACCAAAUACUCUCUAUUAACUCCCUUUAUACAUCUCCUCCCACAAUCUCAACAAACCGCCGUUCCUGCAGCUUUUCUUCCCUUCAUUGAAGAGUGUGGAGGAGAAACCCAGAGAGUUGUGAUCUUUUUCAAUACCUUCUCUUCUGCAUGUUCUGCUUCUUCCGUGAAGGGUGAACUUGUGCACGUUGUCGCGGUUGGAACAGAAAGUGAUUGGGGAGUUAAGCAUUUGAGAUUGAGCGGCGAUGGACGUGGAGGAUGUUGAGCAGAGUUCAUGGAUUGUUUUGUCAUGAUUAAUAAUUGUUGGAUUUGUCGUGUCUUCAUACUCGGCAUUUUCCGUGUCUUGAACGCUUCCGCUAAGAGUACUUUUCUUUAGAAUUGUUUAUUCGUGCAAAGUCUAACUCGUUUGAAAAUUGUUUAUUGUCCAUUCUUUAUUUACUUAGAGUUCGUAUUAUUGUUAGGAUAAUAUUAUGACGUUUUCAAAGUUAAUCCAAUUAUUAAAUUUUUGGUCAAA